CGGGAGGCAGCAGUGGGGAAUAUUGCACAAUGGGCGCAAGCCUGAUGCAGCCAUGCCGCGUGUGUGAAGAAGGCCUUCGGGUUGUAAAGCACUUUCAGUCGUGAGGAAGGUGGUAGUGUUAAUAGCACUAUCAUUUGACGUUAGCGACAGAAGAAGCACCGGCUAACUCCGUGCCAGCAGCCGCGGUAAUACGGAGGGUGCGAGCGUUAAUCGGAAUUACUGGGCGUAAAGCGCAUGCAGGUGGUUUGUUAAGUCAGAUGUGAAAGCCCGGGGCUCAACCUCGGAAUAGCAUUUGAAACUGGCAGACUAGAGUACUGUAGAGGGGGGUAGAAUUUCAGGUGUAGCGGUGAAAUGCGUAGAGAUCUGAAGGAAUACCGGUGGCGAAGGCGGCCCCCUGGACAGAUACUGACACUCAGAUGCGAAAGCGUGGGGAGCAAACAGGAUUAGAUACCCUGGUAGUCCACGCCGUAAACGAUGUCUACUUGGAGGUUGUGGCCUUGAGCCGUGGCUUUCGGAGCUAACGCGUUAAGUAGACCGCCUGGGGAGUACGGUCGCAAGAUUAAAACUCAAAUGAAUUGACGGGGGCCCGCACAAGCGGUGGAGCAUGUGGUUUAAUUCGAUGCAACGCGAAGAACCUUACCUACUCUUGACAUCCAGAGAACUUUCCAGAGAUGGAUUGGUGCCUUCGGGA
rnacentral:rRNA from 1 species